ACACUAUCUUCACCAGGUCUGAGC
rnacentral:siRNA from 1 species